UUCGAUGCCCGGGGCCGCACGCGCGCCACACUGAAGGAACCAGCGUGUGCUCGCCCUGUCCGGCAGGACUGGGUAACCCGCUGAACCUCCUUCGUGAUAGGGAUAGGGGCUUGCAAUUCUUCCCCUUGAACGAGGAAUUCCCAGUAAGCGCGAGUCAUCAGCUCGCGUUGAUUACGUCCCUGCCCUUUGUGCACACCGCCCGUCGCUACUACCGAUUGAAUGAUUUAGUGAGGUCACGGACUGGCGCUCGGAGCGGAGCCUCGUGCCGGGCCGACGUGCCGGAAAGACGACCGAACUUGAUCAUUUAGAGGAAGUAAAAGUCGUAACAAGGUUACC
rnacentral:rRNA from 1 species